AGAGUUUGAUCCUGGCUCAGGACGAACGCUGGCGGCGCGCCUAACACAUGCAAGUCGAACGAGCGAGAGAGAGCUUGCUUUCUCGAGCGAGUGGCGAACGGGUGAGUAACGCGUGAGGAACCUGCCUCAAAGAGGGGGACAACAGUUGGAAACGACUGCUAAUACCGCAUAAGCCCACAGCUCGGCAUCGAGCAGAGGGAAAAGGAGCAAUCCGCUUUGAGAUGGCCUCGCGUUCGAUUAGCUAGUUGGUGAGGUAAUGGCCCACCAAGGCGACGAUCGGUAGCCGGACUGAGAGGUUGAACGGCCACAUUGGGACUGAGACACGGCCCAGACUCCUACGGGAGGCAGCAGUGGGGAAUAUUGCACAAUGGGGGAAACCCUGAUGCAGCGACGCCGCGUGGAGGAAGAAGGUCUUCGGAUUGUAAACUCCUGUUGUUGAGGAAGAUAAUGACGGUACUCAACAAGGAAGUGACGGCUAACUACGUGCCAGCAGCCGCGGUAAAACGUAGGUCACAAGCGUUGUCCGGAAUUACUGGGUGUAAAGGGAGCGCAGGCGGGAAGACAAGUUGGAAGUGAAAUCUAUGGGCUCAACCCAUAAACUGCUUUCAAAACUGUUUUUCUUGAGUAGUGCAGAGGUAGGCGGAAUUCCCGGUGUAGCGGUGGAAUGCGUAGAUAUCGGGAGGAACACCAGUGGCGAAGGCGGCCUACUGGGCACCAACUGACGCUGAGGCUCGAAAGUGUGGGUAGCAAACAGGAUUAGAUACCCUGGUAGUCCACACCGUAAACGAUGAUUACUAGGUGUUGGAGGAUUGACCCCUUCAGUGCCGCAGUUAACACAAUAAGUAAUCCACCUGGGGAGUACGACCGCAAGGUUGAAACUCAAAGGAAUUGACGGGGGCCCGCACAAGCAGUGGAGUAUGUGGUUUAAUUCGACGCAACGCGAAGAACCUUACCAAGUCUUGACAUCCUGCGACGCACAUAGAAAUAUGUGUUUCCUUCGGGACGCAGAGACAGGUGGUGCAUGGUUGUCGUCAGCUCGUGUCGUGAGAUGUUGGGUUAAGUCCCGCAACGAGCGCAACCCUUACUGUCAGUUACUACGCAAGAGGACUCUGGCAGGACUGCCGUUGACAAAACGGAGGAAGGUGGGGAUGACGUCAAAUCAUCAUGCCCUUUAUGACUUGGGCUACACACGUACUACAAUGGCGUUAAACAAAGAGAAGCAAGACCGCGAGGUGGAGCAAAACUCAGAAACAACGUCCCAGUUCGGACUGCAGGCUGCAACUCGCCUGCACGAAGUCGGAAUUGCUAGUAAUCGUGGAUCAGCAUGCCACGGGAAUACGUUCCCGGGCCUUGUACACACCGCCCGUC
rnacentral:rRNA from 1 species